rnacentral:misc_RNA from 1 species
AUGCGAUAAGUAAUGUGAAUUGCAGAAUUCAGUGAAUCAUCGAAUCUUUGAACGCACCUUGCGCUCCUUGGUAUUCCGAGGAGCAUGCCUGUUUGAGUGUCAUUAAAUUCUCAAUCCAUAUGACUUUUGUCACAUGGACUUGGAUGUGGGAGUCUGCAGGGGCCUCCUUUGAGUCUGCUCUCCUUAAAUGUAUUAGUUGGACUUGUUGCAACAGUCCCCGGCGUGAUAAUUAUCUAUGCCUUGCCUGGUGCAGCCUUGUGGUCUGGCUUCUAACAGUCCGUCCAAUCAGGACAAUCUCAUUGACAAUUUGACCUCAAAUCAGGUAGGACUACCCGCUGAACUUAA